rnacentral:rRNA from 1 species
ACUCAAAGGAAUAGACGGGGGCCCGCACAAGCGGUGGAGCAUGUGGUUCAAUUCGACGCAACGCGAAGAACCUUACCUGGGCUCGAACGGCCGGUCAACGACGGUGGAAACACCGUUACUCCGCAAGGGGGUCCGGUCGAGGUGCUGCAUGGCUGUCGUCAGCUCGUGUCGUGAGAUGUUGGGUUAAGUCCCGCAACGAGCGCAACCCUUGUCCUGUGUUGCCAUACCUUAAAAAGUGGAACUCGCAGGAGACCGCCAGCGACAAGCUGGAGGAAGGUGGGGACGACGUCAAGUCAUCAUGGCCUUUAUGUCCAGGGCUACACACGUGCUACAAUGGGCGGUACAAUGGGUCGCCAACCCGCGAGGGGGAGCCAAUCCCAAAAAGCCGUCCUCAGUUCGGAUUGCAGGCUGCAACUCGCCUGCAUGAAGCUGGAAUCGCUAGUAAUGCUAUAUCAGAACGAUAGCGUGAAUACGUUCCCGGGCCUUGUACACACCGCCCGU